UACAGAGGUGGCAAGCGUUGUUCGGAAUUACUGGGCGUAAAGGGCGCGUAGGCGGUCUUGCAAGUCCUGUGUGAAAUCCCUCGGCUCAACUGAGGAACUGCACAGGAAACUGCUUGGCUUGAGUUCGGGAGAGGGAAGCGGAAUUCCGGGUGUAGCGGUGAAAUGCGUAGAUAUCCGGAGGAACACCGGUGGCGAAGGCGGCUUCCUGGACCGACACUGACGCUGAGGCGCGAAAGCUAGGGGAGCAAAUAGG
rnacentral:rRNA from 1 species